UACGUAGGGUGCGAGCGUUAAUCGGAAUUACUGGGCGUAAAGCGUGCGCAGGCGGUUCGUUAUGUCCGUUGUGAAAGCCCCGGGCUCAACCUGGGAAUGGCAAUGGAAACUGGCGGGCUCGAGUGUUGGAGAGGGGGGUGGAAUUCCGCGUGUAGCAGUGAAAUGCGUAGAGAUGCGGAGGAACACCGAAGGCGAAGGCGGCCACCUGGGCAAACACUGACGCUCAGGCACGAAAGCGUGGGGAGCAAACAGG
rnacentral:rRNA from 1 species